rnacentral:rRNA from 1 species
CCUACGGGUGGCAGCAGUGGGGAAUAUUGGACAAUGGGCGAAAGCCUGAUCCAGCCAUGCCGCGUGUGUGAAGAAGGCCUUCGGGUUGUAAAGCACUUUCAGUGGGGAAGAAAGCCUUGGGGCUAAUACCCUCGAGGAAGGACAUCACCCACAGAAGAAGCACCGGCUAACUCCGUGCCAGCAGCCGCGGUAAUACGGAGGGUGCGAGCGUUAAUCGGAAUUACUGGGCGUAAAGCGCGCGUAGGCGGUCUGAUAAGCCGGUUGUGAAAGCCCCGGGCUCAACCUGGGAACGGCAUCCGGAACUGUCAGGCUAGAGUGCAGGAGAGGAAGGUAGAAUUCCCUGUGUAGCGGUGAAAUGCGUAGAGAUCGGGAGGAAUACCAGUGGCGAAGGCGACCUUCUGGACUGACACUGACGCUGAGGUGCGAAAGCGUGGGUAGCAAACAGGAUUAGAUACCCGAGUAGUC